UGCGUACACAAUAAAACUGAAAGGACUAAGAAUCUACUGAAUGAUGCAAAAUAUCAUUGCACGAUGCAAGUCAUUUUACAUACAGUACGACUCUUACGUAAAAGACAUCAGGGUGUAAUAUAAAAACGUAUUAUGCAAAUCUUUAAUCGUCUCCAUAUACAUUCGGCGUGAAGAGUCAAAUUUAAUUGCAACAGCUCCAAUAUAGUUCUUAUUACUGUCGGUGUCUCGGUAUAAAAAUGGGAGCUCGUUUAAUCGUCUCUAACACGCGGCGUAUAAAACGAUGUGGAUUAAGCGCGACGAGAAGAAGCGGGGAAUUAGAAUAUCCCCGUCUCGGUGAAUUUCUCAGGUGAGAGCGAAGAGGACGAGUGACUUUCUCAGAUACUCCUCGUUCCCAGCAUUAUCCAGAGCUUCCGACGAAAUUAUUACGAGCUGAAGAGGAGUUUCGAAAGAAGGAAAUGCAAGAUGUAGGAAUUAUGCAUUCGUGUCUCCUGUGCGUUGCCGGCAUGAAGGAACGAAACGAUAAAACGCGUAGUGAAUCAUAGACGCUUCGCGGCCGGGAGGAACGGAAUCGGAUGUUCGUGCAAUGGUUUUACGAGGAGGCGCCUUCGAGAUGUAGGUCAGGACGAAAAGGGGGAAGAACUGACCCAGCAGAAAUGCGAGUACGGCAAGCGUGCCAGCGGUUUGUCGCGCGGAACGGAGGAAAGAAAGAAAACGAGAGAAAACGAAAGAAUCUAUUGUAUUCUGGGAAAACUCACCUGUAACAAAUAGAAUUAUAUAACAAGUGGAGAAUUGAAUAUAUAAAAGA